GACGAACGCUGGCGGCGUGCCUAAUACAUGCAAGUUGAGCGCUGAAGGUUGGUACUUGUACCAACUGGAUGAGCAGCGAACGGGUGAGUAACGCGUGGGUAAUCUGCCUUUGAGCGGGGGACAACAUCUGGAAACGAAUGCUAAUACCGCAUAAAAACUUUAAACACAAGUUUUAAGUUUGAAAGAUGCAAUUGCAUCACUCAAAGAUGAUCCCGCGUUGUAUUAGCUAGUUGGUGAGGUAAAGGCUCACCAAGGCGAUGAUACAUAGCCGACCUGAGAGGGUGAUCGGCCACAUUGGGACUGAGACACGGCCCAAACUCCUACGGGAGGCAGCAGUAGGGAAACUUCGGCAAUGGACGAAAGUCUGACCGAGCAACGCCGCGGGAGUGAAGAAGGUUUUCGGAUCGUAAAACUCUGUUGGUAGAGAAGAACGUUGGUGAGAGUGAAAAGCUCAUCAAGUGACGGUAACUACCCAGAAAGGGACGGCUAACUACGUG
rnacentral:rRNA from 1 species